GAUGUACUUUUGUUUUCGUUCAUCUGUUGUAAGUUACUGUUUUUCUUGUCUGAAUCCUCUUUCGCUUCCGACACCAUUACUUCAUCUCAGUCCCUCAGUGAUGGCAGGACCUUAGUUUCAAAAGAUGGAAGCUUUGAGCUUGGUUUCUUCAGUCCUGGUAGUUCCAAGAAUCGUUACGUGGGAAUUUGGUACAAAAAUAUGCCAGUUAAAACUGUUGUUUGGGUUGCAAACCGAAUCAACCCCAUUAAUGACUCUUCUGGGUUGUUAGUUGUAAACGAGACGGGCAAUCUUGUUUUAACAAGCCAGAACAAGAGUGUAGUUUGGUCAGCAAACUUGAGCAAAGAAGUCCGGACUCCAGUUGUAUUGCAGCUACUAGAUUCAGGAAAUCUUGUCCUAAGAGGUGAACGAGAUGGCGGUUCUGAAACUUAUUUAUGGCAAAGCUUUGAUUAUCCUUCUGAUACAUUGCUACCGGGAAUGAAGCUCGGAUGGGAUUUGAAGACUGGUCUUGAGCGGCGUAUAACAUCAUGGAAGAGCUCAGACGACCCGUCUCCUGGAAACUUUACUUGGGCAGUUGAACGACAAGAUAAUCCUGAGUUAAUGAUGUGGAAGGGAUCAAGAAAGUUUCAAAGGAGUGGCCCAUGGAAUGGCCUUAAAUUCAGUGCUACAUCAUUAAGGCCAAACCCCAUUUUUAACUUCAGCUUUGUCUCCAAUGAGGAUGAGCUGUACUUCACCAUCGACUUGAUAGAUAAAGCUGUUUUCACAAGGAUUGUUAUGAACCAAACACUCUAUUUACGUCAACGAUUCACAUGGGAUAAACCAACUCAAAGUUGGGAAUUGUAUGCAAAUGUGCCAAGAGAUCUAUGUGACACUUAUGCCCUUUGUGGUGCCUAUGGCAUUUGCAUCAUUAGCGAUAUGCCUGUUUGCCAAUGUUUAAAAGGUUUUAAACCAAAGUCAAAGGGAUAUGUGGACUGGUCUCAAGGGUGUGUGCGUGAUAAGUCGUUAAACUACUCUAGACAAGAUGGAUUCAUCAAAUUCACUGCGAUGAAAUUGCCAGAUGCUACUCCUUCUUGGGUGAGCAAAAGUAUGAAUCUCAAUGAAUGCCGGGAGAAAUGCUUAGACAACUCUUCUUGUAUGGCAUACACAAAUUCAGAUAUCAGAGGAGAAGGCAGUGGCUGUGCCAUGUGGUUUGGUGAUCUGAUUGACAUCAGAUACUUCCAAGAUGGUGGGCAGGACUUGUAUGUUCGAAUGUCUGCUUCAGAGCUAGGUAUCCGUAUACUUAUUUAUGUCAUUCCAUUAUGAGAACUUAGGAGUACCACUCCAGUUAGACUAGUUCCACAUUUUUAUUUUGCAAUUUAGUAUUGAGUUACGAUUGAGAAGCUCCUUUCGCAUAAAGCAGUUUCUGGGUAUAGCUUCUAUGCAUAGAAUUCUGCUGCUAUUUGAAUCAUUUGAUUAUUGACUCGCUCUGCUAUAUCAGAAUACGCUGAUCAAGGAGCGAAAGGUAAGCCUACGACAAAGAUAGUGGUGAUAGUCAUUUCUACAGCUGCUCUGUUAGCUGCGAUGCUUAUAGCUGGCUACUUGAUUCACAAAAGCAGGAGAAAUAUAGUAGGUAUAAUAGCACUCCAUUUUCCUUCACAAAUUUUCAUUGACGACUUGAUGCAGGCAAAUCAAACUCUUAUAAAUAUUAAAUUUAUAAGAGUAGAUUAAAUUUUUAUAUGCAGCAAUAACUGUAUAUUUGUUCGAGAUGAAGAGUUAACAGUGCAUAUCAUUUAGAUCAGGGGCAAGGUAAUUAAACUUGUAAAUUUUUGGCUGGAAUAGCAAGUUUACUUACUUGCAUUUAGUGUUAUAUUAAUACACGCCUCUUUUUCACCUAUGGUUCUCUAUUUACUUGCACUUUCAUAUUGACUGGAAAAUAGCUUUAAUACAAAUUUACAGAUAAAGAACCUUCUCAUCUAGAAGAUGAAAAUUGUAGUUACUAGUUAGUUGUUUAAUAUUGUCCAGUAUACGUACUGCAUAUGUGCUUUCAGUUAAUAUUAUCCAAUAUUUCAGAGAAAACAGAAAACAACAGGGAAACUGAUCAGGUUCAAAACAUGGACCUGGAGCUACCACUGUUUGAGUUAGCUACAAUUGCUAAUGCCACUGAUAACUUUUCAAUCAACAACAAGCUUGGAGAAGGUGGCUUUGGACCUGUUUACAAGGUAAACUUGAAACUUGCCAGUCAAAAAUAAUUAUUUUACCAGGUAACUAAAUUCACAUAUAUGUCUUGGCAGGGCACGCUAGUGGAUGGACAGGAAAUUGCUGUGAAGAGGCUUUCGAAGAUUUCUGAGCAAGGAUUGAAGGAGUUAAAGAAUGAAGUUAUACUAUUUUCCAAAUUACAGCACAGAAAUCUUGUAAAGCUUCUUGGCUGCUGCAUUCAGGGAGAGGAGAAAUUGUUGAUUUAUGAAUUCAUGCCGAACAAAAGCCUGAACUCUUUCAUUUUUGGUCUGGGUCCCUAUAACCUUAAAAUAUUCGGCUAGCUUGUGCCUUGAUUAUAGACGUUUCUUAUGUAUUUUCAGAUAAUUUUGUACUAACGUUAAAGUGGUAAUUUGUAGAUGAAGAAAGAUGUAAGAUAUUGGAUUGGUCCAAGCGUUUCCACAUUAUUUGUGGGACUGCUAGGGGUGUUAUGUACCUUCAUCAAGAUUCUAGAUUGAGGAUUAUACAUCGAGAUCUCAAAGCAAGUAAUGUGCUACUCGAUCAAGAUAUGAACCCAAAAAUUUCAGACUUUGGUUUGGCAAGAUCUUUUGGUGGAGACGAAACAGAAGGAAACACAAACAGAGUGAUUGGAACAUAGUAAGUACUUCUUGUCAUGUGAUCUUUAUGAUUCACUUGUACUGAUUAAUGAAAAUUAACUUAUAUAUUUUAAUCUUUUCAAGUGGUUAUAUGGCCCCGGAAUACGCUAGUGAUGGGCAAUUCUCAGUAAAAUCCGAUGUCUUCAGCUUUGGAAUUUUAUUGCUGGAGAUAAUAAGUGGAAAGAAAAAUAGAGGAUUUUAUCAUUCUGACAACAAGCUUAACCUUCUAGGACAUGUAAGUAAAAUGCAUAUGACAUUUUCUAACAUAGUUUGAACUAAUAAACUAUAGAUGAUAAAAGAGUUUUAAUAUGUUGUAGGCAUGGAAGUUGUGGAACGAAGGCAUGCCUUCACAAUUAAUCGAUCCGUGUAUUCAAGGCUCAUUCAAUCUUGCUGAAGUGAUACGAUGCAUCCACAUCGGUUUGUUAUGCGUGCAACAGCAUCCAAAGGACAGGCCAAGCAUGCCCUCAGUGAUUUUGAUGUUGGGCAGCGAGACAGUGUUGCCUCAGCCAAAGCAACCCGGUUACUUGGCGGACUGGAAAUCUAUCAGACAAGAUUAUUCAUCAAGCACGCUUGAAUCAUGUUCAACUAAUACAAUUACGAUCUCUGAGUUGGAGGGUCGGUAGAGAAUCUAUUUGUGGUAUCAUGCCUUAUUCUACAAUGUCAAGUGCAAAAGCGGUAAUAUCUCAACCAAAUGGAAAAUUAAGAUAAAUGAUUGGAUAAAAAAUGAUGAGGAUCAUCCAGUGAAUGCAUGUUGUGGAUCUAAAAGUUCAGAGGACAGGCCAAUUUUGCAGUUGACUACUUGGCUAAAAAUGCAGGCUCUAUACCUCUCGGAUUUCAUGUUAUCAAGAACUGUUACGGCAAUUUUCCUUUAAGGCUGAUUUGCCUUGAUUCUAGCUAGCUGUUUUUCCUUAUUUAGUUGUUUCCUUUAUUGGCUUAUUUCCUUGUUUUUUCUGUAUAAGGAGAACUCGAUUAAGGGGUUAUUUUUUUAUGCGAAAAACUUAAUAAAACUUCCGGAGCUUUGCUUCUCUUUUGGGUUCAAACUCUUUGAUCUUAAGAUUUGGUAUCAGAGCCAGGUUUUGGCACCAAUAUGGCUGACGGAACAAGAGCGCAAGAGCAAAAGCGUGUAGAUGAGUCUCUGAAGCAGUUGCGGGAGACCUUAGAAAAACACGGCCUUCUUUUAUCAGAUUUGUCUAAGAUGAUGGCUGCUAUAAGCCUGAAACUUGAUCAAUCCACAACAACGAAGACAGGGGAUUCCAACAAUGGAGGAAGUACCUCAACCAAUAGGGGAUCGAAUAAUAAUCAUAUUGGUAAGAAUUCCGUUCAAACUCGAUUUUCCAAACUGAAUUUUCCCAAAUUCGAGGGUGAAAAUCCUAAUGGAUGGAUUUACAAGUGUGACCGUUUUUUCAACAUCAAUGGAAUUGUUGAAGAGGAGAAAGUAGAGAUGGCGUCGAUUCAUCUGGAGGUACAUGCCCUCGAAUGGUUUCAGGGGUAUGAAGCUGGCCAUGAGAACAUCAAUUGAGAGAGUUUUUCUACAGAUAUCAUUGCUCGUUUUGGUCUUAGUGCUUAUGACAGUCCAGUUGGCUAGUUAACCAAGUUGAAGCAAACUACUGUAGUAAAAGCCUAUCAAGAACAAUUUGAGGCAUUGAUGGCUAGAACGAGGGGGCUGCCAGAGGAUUUCUUUGUUCAAUGUUUCAUUAGUGGCUUGAAGGAGGCUAUUAAGAACCAAGUCACCAUGUUUCAACCGAACUCAUUGACCCAAGCCAUUGGUUUAGCAUUGCUACAGGAAGGAGCUAUGGAAGCAAUUCUUAAGGAGGCCAAAGGGGUUAACAAAGUUGGGGUGAGUACAAUGAAUUCUUUUAUGCCAAAAAAGUCAGAUAAUAACCGAUUACCACCAGUGAAGUGGAUUUCGACAGCAGAGAUGCAAGUGAGGAGAGAAAAAAAGCUUUGUUAUUAUUGUGAUGAGAAGUAUGAGCCUAGUCAUGUUUGCAAACAGAAACAUAUUUAUCUAUUACAAGGUGAAGAUAGCGAAGGGAAAGAGCCAAAUGAAGCUGACAAAGUGGAAGGAAAAGAAGAAUCCCAAGUUUCCCUUCUUGCCGUUUCAGGGUCUAGCACUCAUCAAACUAUGAGAAUUGGCGGCAACAUAAAAAAGAAAGCUAUCACCAUACUUAUUGAUUCUGGAAGUACUCACAACUUCCUUGACCCUACAGUUGCAAAAAGAGCAGGCUGCAAAAUUCAACAUGUUAGUCCAAUGACGGUAUCAGUGGCAGAUGGAACCAAAAUAAUUAGUGAUGCUAUUUGUCGACAAUUGAAGUGGAAUAUGCAGGGAGAGGAAUUUCGAGCUGAUUUAAGGCUCUUACCAUUGGGAGGAUGUGAUAUGGUUCUCGGAAUACAGUGGCUUGUUGAAUUGGGGCCUGUAUUAUGGGACUUCAAGGAGUUAGUGAUGGAAUUUUCCGUUGGCGAUCGAAAUUUUGUACUGAAGGGGGAUACACCAGGCCCUACUAAAAUGGUUUCACCAAAGCACAUUCAGCGGGAACUUCAACAUUUGUCUCAAGCAUCAGCAGCUCACAUUUUUUCUAUCCAAGUGGAGGGUGAGGAAGCAGAAGAAGUAAACAGAGAACCAGAGGAUCUAGAACAAGUGUUGCAUCAUUAUAGGAAGGUUUUUGAUGAGCCGAAUGGUUUACCUCCCCAAAGGGAACAUGACCAUAAAAUUCCCCUUGAACCUGGAUCUAUGCCACCUAAUAUACGUCUAUAUAGGUAUCCUUACGUGCAGAAAAGUGAGAUUGAAAAGCUAGUACAAGAGAUGCUCGAGAAUGGCACCAUUCGGAAAAGUGUGAGUCCCUUCUCUUCUCCUGUGUUGUUGGUUAAGAAGAAAGACGGAACUUGGAGAAUGUGCAUUGACUAUAGAGCCCUUAAUAAAAUCACUAUAAAAGAUAAGUUUCCUAUUCCUGUCAUUGAUGAGUUGUUGGAUGAAUUAUAUGGAGCUACAUAUUUUUCUAAGCUUGAUCUCCGAUCCGGUUACCAUCAAAUUAGAGUACAUUCCUCUGAUAUCCAUAAGACUGCUUUUAGGACCCAUGAAGGGCACUAUGAAUUUUUAGUCAUGCCCUUUGGGCUGACUAAUGCACCAUCGACUUUUCAAAGCUUGAUGAAUGAGAUCUUUAAACCUUUUCUAAGGAAAUUUGUACUAGUAUUUUUUGAUGAUAUCUUAAUUUACAGUAGUGAUUGGAAGGAACACUUAGAGCACUUGGAAUUGGUGUUUGGUGUAUUGUCUCAGAACCAGUUAUUUGUUAAAAAGUCAAAAUGUGCUUUUGGUAAAAAGAAGAUUGAGUAUUUGGGGCAUGUAAUUUCAGAGGAAGGAGUUGCCACUGAUCCUACAAAAAUUCAAAACAUGUUGCAAUGGCCUAAGCCUAAUUCCCUCAAGUCUUUAAGGGGUUUUUUGGGGCUCACAGGUUACUAUCGGCGGUUCAUUAAAGAUUAAGGAAAAGUUAGUCAACCACUCACUGUUUUGUUGAAGAAAGAUAAUUUUCAGUGGACUCAAGCUGCAGAAGACGCCUUUGACCAGCUCAAACGCAUCAUGUGUGCGGCACCAGUACUGGCAAUGGCAGACUUCCAGAAAGAUUUUGUGAUUGAGUGCGAUGCAUCAGGAAAUGGGAUAGGAGCCGUAUUGUUGCAAGAGGGCAGACCCAUAGCUUACCUGAGCAAAGCUUUAGCUCCGAAGAAUAUGGGCCUUUCGACAUACGAAAAAGAAAUGUUGGCUGCUGUCAUGGCAGUACAAAAAUGGUGGCCAUAUGUGGUAGGAAAGCACUUUAAGAUAAUCACUGAUCAUCUCAGUCUAAAGUUCCUUAUAGAUUAACGAGUUUUAACUCUGAUGCAACAUAAAUGGCUUACCAAAUUAGCUGGUUAUGACUAUGAGAUCGUCUACCGUAGUGGCAAAAAGAACACAGCUGCAGAUGCCUUAUCAAGGGUACAGGAGGAAAGAGAAGAACCAAUUAUUAUGGCCUUGUCAUUUCCAAUAGCAAAUUGGUUGGGCGUGCUACAAGAUGAAUGGAAGAACGAUGAAAACAUACAAAAACUCAUCCAGGAGAUUCAGCGAGAUCAGAACCUACACUCUAAAUUUACCUGGGUAGAUAAUCAGUUGAGGUACAAAGGAAGGUUGUGGUUAGGAGAUCGAUCUGAAUUAAAGAAGACGAUAUUGCAAUAAGCUCAUGGUGGAGUAGAGGGUGGACAUUCGGGGGUGAAGAAAACAUUAGAAAGAGUACGGAGAGCUUUUUAUUGGAAGAAGAUGAGAAGAGAAGUGUGUAAAUUUGUAGCUGAGUGCGACACAUGCCAGAGAAAUAAGGCUGAAACUAUAGCGUCUCCGGGACUGUUACAGCCGUUACCAAUACCAGAACUGAUUUGGUCCGACAUUUCCAUGGAUUUUAUAGAAGGCCUUCCGAAAUCUCAUGGCAAGAAGGUUAUCAUGGUGGUGGUUGAUAGGUUGAGCAAAUAUGCUCACUUCCUGGCAUUAGCACAACCGUACACAGCAAAAGAUGUAGCUCAAGUGUUCUUAGAUAAUAUUUAUAAGCUUCAUGGCCUGCCAAAGACCAUAAUAAGCGAUCGAGAUCGAAUCUUCACUAGUCAUUUCUGGAGACAUCUCUUCACUCUACAAGGUACUCAAUUACUUAUGAGCACAUCUUAUCAUCCGCAGACCGAUGGUCAGACCGAAAUCGUUAAUAAGUGUUUGGAGCAAUACUUGAGGUGCAUGACUGGAGACAAGCCAAAGGAGUGGAGUAAAUGGUUGCCGCUUGCUGAGUGGUGGUAUAACACUUCAUUUCAUUUCUCUUUUAAGAUAACUUCAUUUGAGGUUGUCUAUGGCAGGGAGCCUCCUACUUAUACAACUUAUAUUCCUGGUGAGACAAUUGUAGCAUCUGUGGACCAAGCUUUAAGGGACAGAGACUCAAUGAUUCGCCUUCUCAAGGAGAACUUACAUCAAGCUCAAAGCAAAAUGAAAAAAAUGGCGGAUAAGCAUCGGACAGAGAGGGAAUUUGAGGUAGAUGAUUGGGUUUAUCUUCGGCUACAGCCUUUCAAACAAGCUUCUCUAGCUCUUCGGAAGGAUAGGAAGUUGGCUCCUAGGUUUUAUGGACCUUACAAGGUGCUUCAAAGGAUUGGGUAGGUGGCAUACAAGCUAGAACUUCCUUCACACUCCAAAAUCCAUCCAGUUUUUCAUGUCUCUUGCUUGAAGAAAAAACUGGGAGCUGCUAAUGUUCAGCAGACAGAGCUGCCUACAAUCCAAGAAGAUGGGAGGAUGCAGUUGGAGCCGCUAGCAUUGUUGGAGAAACGUACGGUUAAGAGAAACAACAGGCCUGUAGUUCAGUGGUUGAUUCAUUGGACUAAUUCCUUUCCUGAGGAUGCUACAUGGGAGGAUGCUUGCGUUAUUCGACAGAAAUUUCCAAAAUUUGAGCCUUGAGGACAAGGCUUCCUGAACAGAGGGGGAAAUGUUACGGCAAUUUUCCUUUAAGGCUGAUUUGCCUUGAUUCUAGCUAGCUGUUUUUCCUUAUUUAGUUGUUUCCUUUAUUGGCUUAUUUCCUUGUUUUUUCUGUAUAAGGAGAACUCGAUUGAGGGGUUAUUUUUUUAUGCGAAAAACUUAAUAAAACUUCCGGACCUUUGCUUCUCUUUUGGGUUCAAACUCUUUGAUCUUAAGAAGAACCUCCUGUAGGUCAUGAUCCUUGGCUUUGUUAUGAUAUGUAUGUGACAAUGAUUCCCCGCUCGGUUGUGUCUUAGCUUGGCUAAGCCUUUUUUAGGUUAAAAAAAAAAAAGAAUGUAGACUAAUGUUCAUAUAGAAAUUGUAAAUUAGAGGUACUGUGAGCAUUGUUGGGUCCAAAAAAUGAUUAACCGAGAAUUAAAUUAAAUAAAAGCAAGACGUUAUAAUUUUUUUGAUAUAAAAUAUUUACUAAUACAUUUAUGAGAAUAUCUUUGGUGCUUUUGGAGCAUUUUUAUCUAUUCACAAUUUAUCACUUGUGUAUAUAUGUCAUCAUGAUUAGUAAAAGCAUACACAUAACAAAAAGUAAAUGAAAAAGGAGAAGCUCUCCAAUAGUUCCGAAGAUUUUUCCUACAUUUUAAAAAUCAUGUGCAAUAUACUCAUUAUCAAUACUAUUAAGUACAUCCUUUUCUACAUAAACAACAAAAUUAAUAUUCAUCCAUUCAUCUCUCAUUCAAUUUCAGUGUUAAUUCUUCAUGAACUUUAUUGCUAAAAACGUUCUCUCUACUGUGGCUGUGGGAACCGGAAGAAUUAUAGCUAAGUGUCACCAACAAAUAUAUUAAUACUGUAAUGGAUACUCUUUAUCUUUUUUAGUCUCAAACUAUUCUUUUAGCAACUCAUUGACUCCCUUCAUUCCUACAAAUCCGCCUAAUUGUUCUUUCCUAAUUUAACCCAGGCCCUAAUUUUCUUUUCUUUUUAGAACAAGAAAGAUAAAAUUUGUGAUUGGAGGUGUAGCUAAUUAUUAUUUUUAGUAAAUUUGAAUCUAUUAUCAAAAAAAUUUUUGGGUUGUGGGUUAUUAUUAUUUUUAAAUAAAGCGUGAGUUUAAUAGUUCAAGUUAAAAUUUAAAUUUUGUAGGUUUAUGAAUGUAUAGAGGCUAUUUUAAUAGAUUGAUGAAGGUUAAUUAGAAACCCAAAUGAUUAUUUCUUUUAUUGUUUUUGUCUUUCACAUGCUAAAUCCUCCACUCCUAUCGAUAAGAAUUGGAAUGAUUUAUUUUUAUCCUAAUGAUCAUAAUAAAAAUCUUUUAAAGAUUUUACUAUUUUAUCAAAAUUAUUAUUUUAAAAUUAUAUUUACCCCAACUUUUUUUUUAACUAUAAUUUUUUUUUCACAACUACUGUAACUUUUAAUAUAACUUGGGUUAUCAAAAUUUUGAGCUUCAUUCAACUAACCAUAACUAUCAUGAACAAAGUCAACGUUGCUUAAGUCAAGAAAGACUUUAAUGGGAGGGAGAUAAUUAUUAUUAUCGACAUUACAAAUGGGGAGCUGGCUACGGUACAGAUUCUGUAACAUACAGACCAGGUUAGCCAGCCCCCCAAGGGUGCCAUUUGCUUGCUUUAUUUCCAAUGCGGGGACACGUGGAGUGUAUGGAGUGGGGGAUGUAUGUUACAGAAUCUGUAACAUAGACUUCUCCUACAAAUGGACCCCAAUUAUAUCUAAAGUCUUUGGGCUCGUGUCCCGUUUUCUUCUUCUUUUUCAAAAUAAUAAUGCUACACGUUUCAAAUUUUUUAUCCUAAAAAAUUAUUUUAAAUGAUAUGGCAUUUAUCAAUUGGUUGUAAGAUAAUACAAUUAAUUCACUUAGAUCAUGUAAAGAAUUAUCAACCACUCAAUUAAUGACACAUCAUUUAGGAUAACUUUUUAAGAUAAAAAAUUUAGGAUAUGUAGCAUUAUUGUUUUCAAAACCCUAUUCACUAAGCAUUAAUUCGGUUGGUUGGUUGAAUCCGGCGGUUGAUGAAUUCGGUUGGUUGAUGAAUCCGGCAGUUUCUGAUUUUCUUUUUUUAUUUUUAUGCGAGUGACCCCGCAACGAUAGCAUCGCAAUCUCAUGAAAAAAAAAAUUCCAAACGCAUGAAAAUUGGACACCCGUCAACAAAAAUCUUUUUGUUAUAGUAUUUACUGUACUUUCAAAAAUUUGAACAUGACAAAAAUUAAGUAAUCGACUUAUUAUAAUAAUCUAUGACCAAAAAUAUUGAACACAUAUUUUUUUUUUUUGUAAUUAUACACGCACAUCACUCUUUUACGAUUAAUUGACUAAACAUGUAUGAUAAACGAUUUGAUAAUGGAUUGUCUCAUAAUCUAAAUUUAUCAAAUAUCUUAAUGGUGAGACUAUUGGAAUUGAAUCCAUAAAGUUCUUUUAAAAUUUUCUUUACAACUUAUAAUAUACUUUUCAGAAAGUCUAUUGAGUACUAAUUCAGAAUUUAUUUCAAUAUAUAUUAAGAAAAAUUAUUUGGUUAAGAAAAAUUAGCCCCUUUGAAAAAUUGAGUUCGUGAGGCAUGAGCUCAUCAUUAGGCAACCCAUCAAAUUAUUCAAUAAAUAUAUUUGCCCCACACAUCCAUAAUUAAUUAAAAGGAUGGAAUUAUUUGAACUUAUGAAAUUUCUCAUAACAUCCAUUUAUUUAAUAUAUCCCCUAUCAAGAUCUUAAAAUUAAAUUUUAACUCUAUAAACCGCUUAAUACCCCACAAAUAACCGAUUUAUGGUGGGUGCAAUAAUUUAGAUAAUUAAAUUAUUUAUUGUUUUUGAUAAUUUUUAUUUAAGAUUAUUUUUGUAAUAUAAAUUUUUAUUUAAAAAUAAGUCUAAGGUGCAUUUUUAUGGGGCCCAAAUGACCUUAAAAUUGGAAGAAUUAAAUUUUACCAUAUAAAAGUAAAACCUCUUGUAAUUCCUAAAGUAUCCUUGAUUAGAUUUCUUUUUAAUUUUAAUAUUUUCUCUCUGCCAUAGAAGUUGCUAUGUCCUUUCUUGGUAAGAUGCUCUGUUCAGGCUUCAAUGUUGUUGGCUUGAAUUGGCAAUUGAACUCGAAUCAAUUCUCAUGCAUGGGUUGGGGAAUUUGCUCAACUUAUAAUUGGUUGGUUUAUGCCUCUGACCAAAAUCAUUUCGCCUCUCCAAGAAUCUACAAAAUUAAUUGGUAUUAUCAUGUCGGUGCUGCUUAUAAUUAGUAGUGCCCGCAUUGCUCUGAAUUCAGGCAUUGCUUGAGUAGAGUUGGGCUUGCUGAUUCAUUUUAGUGACACUUAAAAACACUUAAAAAAAAAAUCAGGACUUGUUUGUCGAAAUUUACAAAUAUUUUGUUCUUUGAUUAAUUUUUAUUAUAUCAAACAAUAGGACUGCAGUGUAGUUAAACCAGUUGCUUACACCUGGGCAACAUAGUUUUGUGUUCUUAUUUUUUUUUAUUGUUUGUGAGAUGGCAAGUGAUAUAUAUGUCUUUUUAAAAUUUUCAAUUAUUGGGGCAACGAACAUGGUAAAUAAUUUGCGGUGGAAAAGGUACCAAUAUUGACUCAAUAUGUCAAAUUUCUAGAAAAUUUUAGCAUCAAAUGCCUUUUUUCCAUUGUUGUGAGUAUAAGUCAAAUUUCUUGCAAAUUUUCUAUGGGUGUGACGAUUUUUUUUGGACUGCAAACGGCCCACCCUUCACCUAUUCAUAGAGAAUUUUACAAUAUUAAAUAGAAAAUUUUGAGUCCAGAAGCAAUCGCUUUCAGGUCAGUGCCUCCAAGAUGGAUUAUCAGUCAUGGUGUUUAAUUAUAUUUAUUUAAUUUGUUAGAGAGAGCUCUACGCCUAUAGAGUAUAAAAAAUGGAUGUACUUUCGUUUUCGUUCAUCUGUUGUAAGCUACUGUUUUUCUUGUCUGAAUCCUCUUUUGCUUCCGACACCAUUACUUCAUCUCAGUCCCUCAGCGAUGGCAGGACCUUAGUUUCAAAAGAUGGAAGCUUUGAGCUUGGUUUCUUCAGUCCUGGUAGUUCCAAGAAUCGUUACGUGGGAAUUUGGUACAAAAAUAUGCCAGUUAAAACUGUUGUUUGGGUUGCAAACCGA
rnacentral:lncRNA from 1 species